rnacentral:rRNA from 1 species
CCUACGGGAGGCAGCAGUGGGGAAUUUUGGACAAUGGGCGCAAGCCUGAUCCAGCAAUGCCGCGUGCAGGAUGAAGGCCUUCGGGUUGUAAACUGCUUUUGUACGGAGCGAAAAGGCUCUUCCUAACACGGAGGGCCCAUGACGGUACCGUAAGAAUAAGCACCGGCUAACUACGUGCCAGCAGCCGCGGUAAUACGUAGGGUGCGAGCGUUAAUCGGAAUUACUGGGCGUAAAGCGUGCGCAGGCGGUUAUGUAAGACAGAUGUGAAAUCCCCGGGCUCAACCUGGGACCUGCAUUUGUGACUGCAUAGCUAGAGUACGGUAGAGGGGGAUGGAAUUCCGCGUGUAGCAGUGAAAUGCGUAGAUAUGCGGAGGAACACCGAUGGCGAAGGCAGUCCCCUGGACCUGUACUGACGCUCAUGCACGAAAGCGUGGGGAGCAAACAGGAUUAGAUACCCUGGUAGUCCACGCCCUAAACGAUGUCAACUGGUUGUUGGGUCUUUACUGACUCAGUAACGAAGCUAACGCGUGAAGUUGACCGCCUGGGGAUACGGCCGCAAGGUUGAAACUCAAAGGAAUUGAGGCUGAGACGNGCGAGACGACGACGAGGAGGAGG